rnacentral:rRNA from 1 species
AAUAGAUACCCCGGUAGUCCACGCCGUAAACGUUGGAUACUAGGUGUGGCGGUCUUACCAACGACUGCCGUGCCGAAGCUAACGCAUUAAGUAUCCCGCCUGGGGAGUACGGCCGCAAGGCUAAAACUCAAAGGAAUUGACGGGUCCCCGCACAAGCGGCGGAGCAUGCGGCUUAAUUCGAUGCAACCCGAAGAACCUUACCUGGGUUUGACAUCACGGGAAAAGCUGUAGAAAUACAGUGUCCAUUAGGGCCCGUGACAGGUGGUGCAUGGCUGUCGUCAGCUCGUGUCGUGAGAUGUUGGGUUAAGUCCCGCAACGAGCGCAACCCUUGUCCUAUGUUGCCAGCGGUUCGGCCGGGGACUCAUAGGAGACUGCCGGGGAUAACUCGGAGGAAGGUGAGGACGACGUCAAGUCAUCAUGCCCCUUAUAUCCGGGGCUGCACGCAUGCUACAAUGGCCGGUACAACGGGCAGCGAUCCCGCGAGGGUGAGCGAAUCCUAAAAAGCCGGUCCUAGUUCGGAUUGAAGUCUGCAACUCGACUUCA